GUCAACGUCCAUACCACAUUGAACACACCGGUUCUCGUCCGAUCACCGAAGUCAAGCAAUGUCGGGCGCGGUUAGUACUUGGAUGGGUGACCGCCUGGGAACACCGCGUGCUGUUGGCUUUU
rnacentral:rRNA from 1 species